rnacentral:rRNA from 1 species
CCUACGGGUGGCAGCAGUGGGGAAUAUUGGACAAUGGGGGGAACCCUGAUCCAGCCAUGCCGCGUGUGUGAAGAAGGCCCUCGGGUUGUAAAGCACUUUCAGUGAGGAAGAACGCCUGGUGGUUAAUACCCAUCAGGAAAGACAUCACUCACAGAAGAAGCACCGGCUAACUCCGUGCCAGCAGCCGCGGUAAUACGGAGGGUGCGAGCGUUAAUCGGAAUUACUGGGCGUAAAGCGCGCGUAGGUGGCUUGAUAAGCCGGUUGUGAAAGCCCCGGGCUCAACCUGGGAACGGCAUCCGGAACUGUCAAGCUAGAGUGCAGGAGAGGAAGGUAGAAUUCCCGGUGUAGCGGUGCAAUGCGCAGAGAUCGGGAGGAAUACCAGUGGCGAAGGCGGCCUUCUGGACUGACACUGACACUGAGGUGCGAAAGCGUGGGUAGCAAACAGGAUUAGAUACCCGUGUAGUC